rnacentral:rRNA from 1 species
AUUCUGGGCGUAAGCGAGCGUAGGUGGCUUGAUAAGUCAGAUGUGAAAUCCCCGGGCUUAACCUGGGAACUGCAUCUGAAACUGUUAGGCUAGAGUAGGUGAGAGGGAAGUAGAAUUUCAGGUGUAGCGGUGAAAUGCGUAGAGAUCUGAAGGAAUACCGAUGGCGAAGGCAGCUUCCUGGCAUCAUACUGACACUGAGGCUCGAAAGCGUGGGUAGCAAACAGGAUUAGAUACCCUGGUAGUCCACGCCGUAAACGAUGUCUACUAGUCGUUGGGUCCCUUGAGGACUUAGUGACGCAGCUAACGCAAUAAGUAGACCGCCUGGGGAGUACGGCCGCAAGGUUAAAACUCAAAUGAAUUGACGGGGGCCCGCACAAGCGGUGGAGCAUGUGGUUUAAUUCGAUGCAACGCGAAGAACCUUACCUGGUCUUGACAUACACAGAAUCUUGUAGAGAUACGAGAGUGCCUUCGGGAAUUGUGAUACAGGUGCUGCAUGGCUGUCGUCAGCUCGUGUCGUGAGAUGUUGGGUUAAGUCCCGCAACGAGCGCAACCCUUGUCCUUAGUUACCAGCACUUCGGGUGGGAACUCUAAGGAUACUGCCAGUGACAAACUGGAGGAAGGCGGGGACGACGUCAAGUCAUCAUGGCCCUUACGACCAGGGCUACACACGUGCUACAAUGGUAGGUACAGAGGGCAGCUACACAGCGAUGUGAUGCGAAUCUCAAAAAGCCUAUCGUAGUCCAGAUUGGAGUCUGCAACUCGACUCCAUGAAGUAGGAAUCGCUAGUAAUCGCGGAUCAGAAUGCCGCGGUGAAUACGUUCCCGGGCCUUGUACACACCGCCCGUCACACCAUGGGAGUUGAUUGCACCAGAAGUGGUUAGCCUAACUUAGUGAGGGCGAUCACCACGGUGUGGUCGAUGACUGGG